AAAUAUCAACAAUUGUUCUCUGAUGUUCGCAAUGAAGAUGAUUUAAAUACAACAUGUAGUAAUUAAUAAAGCACACACCGGUUUAAUGGAAAAUGGUGAAUUGCAUUUACGCUUUCUAAAUGUAUCCAUUUUCCGACAACAAUCACAAUAGAAUGAGGUAGUGCCGGUGAAUUCAGCGGCAAGGAUGAUGGGAACUUUCUGGUUCCUGCUUAUAAUUGGGAUCCGCCCCAUUUUGUCCCUGACAGAGGCAGAUCUUAAGAGAAGUCUGUUGUCCUCCGCCGUGUAUGAUCCGUCUGUCAGACCCCGGAUCAACGCCUCCCACGCCGUGCACGUCCAGCUGGAUGUCCAAGUGGUUUACAUCAUUGGUUUGACUGAAAGAGAUAGCUCCUUUGCCCAAGCGUGUAACAUAUUUGUGAGUUGGAGAGACGAGUACUUGACGUGGAACACCAGUGACUACGGUGACCUGGACAGUUUUGUCGUCCAACCGUCCGUAGUAUGGACUCCGGAUGUCUCAGUGUAUGGGAGAAUGGAAAUAAAUCAACGAAUAGAAUUAGGUCAGGUGCGUGUGAAUUCUGAUGGCAUGGUCAAUACAAAGUUUUUGGGAAUAUUAGCAACUCACUGCGCCAUGGAUUCUGAAUUUUUCCCCUUUGACUACCAGCUCUGCACCUUUAUCAUUGGAUCCGAAAUAUACUUCACUUCCGAAGUCGCUAUGGAAAUAAAGUCUCUGAGACAAUUGGAGAGUUGUAAGAAUAAUCCUAAUUGGAACCUGGUACAUGUUCGCAAAAAUCCUAAACCCCCCUUCUGGCAGGUUCAAUAUUGUUUUCAACGGAGGUCGCUGUAUCUGGCGGUUCUUUAUAUGGUACCGACUUUCAUGCACGCUGUCCUUAUCCUUAUCUCGUACAUUGUUCCGAGUGAAGCCGGAGAGAAAAUCUCCUUUGGAGUGUCUCUGUUCCUAUCUUUUAUGGUCUUCUUGUUGCAGUUGAACGGAGAUUUGCCUGAAAUGUCAACAGCAGUUCCAGCAUUGGAAAUUUUCUUCAUGCUCCACAUGACAAGCGGGGUUGUAUCCUUAGUAGUAUCCGCCAUUUCUGCUUACAUCACACACAAUAACAGUCAACAGACAGUAUCAGUAAACAAGGUCAAGGACGUAUCCACAGCAGCCACCAAUGAGAAGAGAAGAUUUCCCAAUGUACGCCAGCGUUUCAGAGAUACAUCCUUUCUGAACAGAGCCGGUUUUGUCGUGUCUCUGUCUCUCAUAUUGGCAGCAAACUUUAUCAUGUUUAAUGCAAAACUGAAGUCGUCUGGAUGUACGCAGUAGAUGAUGAAUGUUACAGUGUUAUUUAAGGACACAUGAGAAGUUCCUCAAUUAAAAACAAAUUCCA
rnacentral:misc_RNA from 1 species